rnacentral:rRNA from 1 species
GUCCAUGCUUCCAAGAAAAGCAUCUAGAGAGAGAAGUAGUGCCCGUACCGCCAACCGACACAGGUAGAUGAGGAGAGAAUCCUAAGGCCGGCGGAAGAAUUGCAGUUAAGGAACUAGGCAAAUUGACCCCGUAAGUUAGCGAGAAGGGGUGCCUGCGAGAGCAGGCCGCAGAGAAUAGGCCCAAGCAACUGUUUAGCAAAAACACAGGUCUCUGCUAAAGCGCAAGCUGAUGUAUAGGGGCUGACGCCUGCCCGGUGCUGGAAGGUUAAGGGGAACACUUAGCGCAAGCGAAGGUGUGAACUUAAGCCCCAGUAAACGGCGGCCGUAACUAUAACGGUCCUAAGGUAGCGAAAUUCCUUGUCAGGUAAGUUCUGACCCGCACGAAUGGCGUAAUGACUUGGGCACUGUCUCAACUGCAAAUCCGGCGAAGUUGUAGUGCGAGUGAAGAUGCUCGCUACCCGCGAUUGGACGGAAAGACCCCGUAGAGCUUUACUGUAGCUUAGCAUUGAAUUCCGGUAUUGUCUGUACAGGAUAGGUGGGAGACUGGGAAACUAGGGCGUCAGCCUUGGUGGAGUCGUCCUUGGGAUACCACCCUGACAGUACUGGGGUUCUAACAGGACGCCAUGAAUCUGGUGACUGGACAUUGUUAGGUGGGCAGUUUGACUGGGGCGGUCGCCUCCUAAAAAGUAACGGAGGCGCCCAAAGGUUCCCUCAGAACGGUCGGAAAUCGUUCGUAGAGUGCAAAGGCAGAAGGGAGCCUGACUGCGAGACCUACAAGUCGAGCAGGGACGAAAGUCGGGCUUAGUGAUCCGGUGGUACCUCGUGGGAGGGCCAUCGCUCAACGGAUAAAAGCUACCUCGGGGAUAACAGGCUGAUCUCCCCCAAGAGUCCACAUCGACGGGGAGGUUUGGCACCUCGAUGUCGGCUCGUCGCAUCCUGGGGCUGUAGUAGGUCCCAAGGGUUGGGCUGUUCGCCCAUUAAAGCGGCACGCGAGCUGGGUUCAGAACGUCGUGAGACAGUUCGGUCCCUAUCCGUCGCGGGCGUAGGAAAUUUGAGAGGAGCUGUCCUUAGUACGAGAGGACCGGGAUGGACUGACCUCUGGUGCACCAGUUGUUCUGCCAAGAGCAUGGCUGGGUAGCUAAGUCGGGAAGGGAUAAACGCUGAAAGCAUCUAAGCGUGAAGCCUCCCUCAAGAUGUGAUUUCCCAUAGCAUAAGCUAGUAAGACCCCUUGAAGAACACGAGGUUGUUAGGUCAGAGGUGUAAGUGUGGUAACAUAUUAGCUGACUGAUACUAAUAGGUCGAGGGCUUGACCAG